GGAAUGAACGCUAGCUACAGGCUUAACACAUGCAAGUCGAGGGGAAAGACAUCGAAAGCUUGCUUUUGAUGGGCGUCGACCGGCGCACGGGUGAGUAACGCGUAUCCAACCUGCCCACCACUUGGGGAUAACCUUGCGAAAGUAAGACUAAUACCCGAUGAUAUCCCUAGAAGACAUCUGAAAAGGGGAUUUAAAAGAUUUAUCGGUGAUGGAUGGGGGAUGCGUCUGAUUAGCUUGUUGGCGGGGUAACGGCCCACCAAGGCAACGAUCAGUAGGGGGUUCUGAGAGGAAGGUCCCCCCACAUUGGAACUGAGACACGGUCCAAACUCCUACGGGAGGCAGCAGUGAGGAAUAUUGGUCAAUGGACGGAAGUCUGAACCAGCCAAGUAGCGUGCAGGACGACGGCCCUAUGGGUUGUAAACUGCUUUUAUAAGGGAAUAAAGUGAGUCUCGUGAGACUUUUUGCAUGUACCUUAUGAAUAAGGACCGGCUAAUUCCGUG
rnacentral:rRNA from 1 species